AGUGAGAUAGCUGGGUCAAAUGGUGGCUCAUUCCAACUUUUCUGAGGAAUUUCCACACUGCUGUCCAGAGUGGCUGCACCAAUCUGCAGUCCCACCAGCAAG
rnacentral:pre_miRNA from 1 species